GAGUGGAGCUUGGUCCUGAUUCGCGGCGGACGGGUGAGUAAUGCCUAGGAAUCUGCCUGGUUUGGGGGAGNCGUUUCCAAAGGAACGCUGAUACCGCAUACGUCCUACGGGAUAAAGUGGGGGAUCUUCGGACCUCACGCUAUCCGAUGAUCCUAGGUCGGAUUACCUACUUGGUGAUGUAAAGGCUCACCAAGGCGACGAUCCGUAACUGGUCUGAAAGGAUGAUCAUUCACACUGGAACUGACACACGGUCCAGACUCCUACGGGAGGCACUCAGUGGGGAGGCAGCAGUGGG
rnacentral:rRNA from 1 species